rnacentral:misc_RNA from 1 species
AAGUCGUAACAAGGUUUCCGUAGGUGAACCUGCGGAAGGAUCAUUUUUGGGGUGUUAAUUCAUGGCUUGCCAUGGUUAACUUUUAAAUUGUGAACUUUAACUAACGGUGGUCUCUGCUUGCUGCGACAAAAGCUCUGCCGACGAUCUCGGUAUCCUUUCAGUCAAAGCGCCGGUAGUUGGAACAACAAGCGCUGCGGACGAUCUCCGUAUUCUUACGUUCCAGCUAUCACCGCGAGCACCUGGGGCUUUAUAAACAUAAAUAAUUUUUACGUUAAAGGAGUGAUUGGCCUAACCAAUCAAAUUUACAGCCUUUAGCAAUGGAUCUCUUGGCUCCC